GAGGCACAUGUGGGGAAUCCCAGUGGACAGCAGCGAGGGAGACGUCAAGGAAGGCUUCCGAAUUGGAUGAAGAGGGUUCCUUCUGAAGUCCCUUAAUAUGUACAGAGGGGAGAUAUUUGCCUACCCCCUGUAUCUUCAAAGGAGCUUAUGCCAGCCAAGGCAAAAUUCUUUGCUAUGGAUGUGGCUUGCAAAUAUUAGCCAUACUUGGAGAAAGCUGCUCGAGUCCUUCCUGCCCUUCAGGAGCUCAACGAAAUGAAACCCUUCCUCAGCAUAAUGCAUGCUCGAGCCCAUGCUACAAAGUGUGAGAUUAAAUGGAGUGGUAGGAACCAGGAAGGAGCAGGAACAACAGCCAGAGAGGAGGGGGAGCAAGUGAACAGCUACCAAACACGUUGUGCCCUGACUACCAAAUAUAUGUCCAAAGCAGCACGGGUGGACAUGGUUACUUUGCACGCAGUGGGGUGGAACCACAAAAAGUCUCUCUCUACAUCAGGCACUUUCCACAAGAUAUGUGAAGACUCGUCAGAGACUCCAGGAUGAGACUGCAAGGCUAGAUGAACUCAAAACAGAGCUACACUGCACAGAUGAAUUGGUGUCACAGUGGCUCUCUGAUGUGAAGGAAUGGGCAGCUGAUGGUAAGCAUGACCAAAUAAAAGAAACAACAAACUUUCUUUUUAUUCCUAUUUGAAAUUAAGUUUGAUCAUCGAUGGAUUACAACAGUUGGUGACAUCACCUGCCACCAAAGACACCAUCCAAUGUUAUGCCACAUAUAUGUUUGGUUUAUUUUAUAUUCCAGUUUCCCUGCAGGAAAUGCACAUACCAAGUUCAAUGAAGUUGGAUUCAAAUGAGUUUGUGUUUUUUCAGUUUUUUUUUUUUAAAAACUUGAAGAAAAGGUAGUUUUUUCAACUUGAAAAGGUACAUUUAUAGUUAAACAUUGCAAUGCUAUUAUGCAAGAUUGUCUCAUGCAUACAUACAACUGUUAUUGAUUCUUAGCCAACAUUUCAAUCAAGAAACAUUUGCAUGACCAAGUGAUGUUGGAGAUGCGACUGCAAGAGGAAAAAAGCAUUUUGGUUUUGGAGAUGGCACAACACUGCACAUGGUUGCAGAGCCUGGCAGUGGUUCUCAAGGACAAGAUGGCUGAGGAGGGCAAGUUGAAUAAAACCUCUAUCCCUUUUAAAGUAUGAAUUUCAUUCAUUCAUCUUCUACCGCUUAUCCGAACUACCUCGGGUCACGGGGAGCCUGUGCCUAUCUCAGGCGUCAUCGGGCAUCAAGGCAGGAUACACCCUGGACGGAGUGCCAACCCAUCGCAGGGCACACACACACACACACACACACUCACUCACUCACUCUCAUUCACUCACGCACUCACACACUAGGGACAAUUUUCCAGAGAUGCCAAUCAACCUACCAUGCAUGUCUUUGGACCGGGGGAGGAAACCGGAGUACCCGGAGGAAACCCCUGAGACAUGGGGAGAACAUGCAAACUCCACACACACAAGGUGGAGGCGGGAAUCGAACCCCGACCCUGGAGGUGUGAGGCGAACGUGCUAACCACUAAGCCACCGUGCCCCCUAGUAUGAAUUUCAAAUGAAAAAAAAAUAAAUAAACAUUAUCAGUCUCAGUCACACAAUUUGAAUGGAGUAGAAGGGUUAUUGCUCUUUUUGCCACAAAUGGGGAUUAUAAUUUGCGAUGGUAACAAGUCAGUAAGGUUUUAAAGCGUUUCACAUUUGCUUGAUUUGUUGUACUGUGGCUGUUACAUAAAAGGAGAAAUUAACAAAAGAAUUUUGAACAUUGAAUUCAGCAUCAUCAAACACACCUAUUUCUAUUACCAUGGCAAUGAUACACAUUAAAAUAUGCCAACCAUCCUGGUAUGUAGAUUUGAAUGGUUGAAAUCUUUUAACUCCAUUGAAGUUCUUUGGCCUCAUUAAGCAAUCUUAACAAGCAGUUUGUCUUUUAAUGUAAUCUCCUUUGUAUUUUGAGAUGUAGACAAGGGAAAUGAGGGACUUUGCUGUCUCUUAAGAAGACGACUGUCAGGUGUCAGAACGGUUGCAAGUUGUCCUCCAACAGUACAAGACUGCUUUAGGUCCUGAGGCCUCUGUCCUUCUACAUGUUGAAGCAGAAGAUCCAAGUGGACUGGAGGUGUUCCAUCAAGGUGGAUAAAGGAAAAGCCUGGCUUAUUUUGAUAAAUCUUGAUGAUUUAAGUAAGAGUUCCAUGCCAUUACUGUGGCUUAAGCCCAGUUUACACCAAAGAUUCACAAUCAGACAAAACCAUUUUAGAACGUUACAGUGAUGUAAACGGGCCCUUUUCAGCUUGACUCUGAUGGCAAUAAUUCACCAGUUGCUGGUUUUCGAGUGUAAGGUACAACACCUGUUUCAACAGCCAAUCAGCUUGUAGAAAAGUCAGCCGGUCAAGUCACUAAACUGUUGGCUGGUUGAAGUUUUGGAUGGAGGAAAGAGAUGAUCAGUUUAUCAAUUAGUUUGGGGAACAGCACUAUCUGUGUGACUCAAGCCUUAAAAUUUACUCAACUCUUCAGGGCUGCUUAUGUACUUUGUGCACACAUGCUUAUUUAAGCCUGGUUAAAGUCACUGUUGACUAGACAUGGCUAAUAAUUUAGUUGAAUGGCUUGAGCCUGCAGUGAAAGUCAGUGUUAAUUUAAGCAAGGCUUUUUCAAGUGGACAGCUUACAAUUAACUGCAUUGAUGGAAUACCCCCUGUUACUGUUGCUCUUAAUUUAUUUGUGUAUUUAUUAAUGCUUUACACACCUUCAUUCUAAAACAGUUGAACUUCACCUUAUCCUACGUCUUGCUUUUUUUGUUUUUCUGUAUUUUCCCAGAUGGAAGAUACACAAAGGACUGUGUUGAAGAAAAUGGACUCGCCCUAUAUCUGUAUAUUAUUAGUAUGCUGAUUGAACACAUCAAAAUA